UACGUAGGGUGCGAGCGUUGUCCGGAAUUAUUGGGCGUAAAGAGCUCGUAGGCGGUUUGUCGCGUCUGCCGUGAAAGUCCGGGGCUCAACUCCGGAUCUGCGGUGGGUACGGGCAGACUAGAGUGAUGUAGGGGAGACUGGAAUUCCAGGUGUAGCGGUGAAAUGCGUAGAUAUCUGGAGGAACACCUGAGGCGAAGGCGGCGUCCGGGACCUACACUGACACUGAUGAGCGAAAGCCAGGGGAGCAAACGGG
rnacentral:rRNA from 1 species